CUCAGUAUAUCGUACCCGGCUCAGAUGAACUAAAAUCAUUUGUGCAUGCCCGGGCAAGCACAGUAGCCUACACGGUGUACCACUUUUUAACGCUUACCACAAAAUAACACGACACCGGUAGAAGUUUAUAAAAAUUCACUGCACACAAUCCAGCAAUUCGUGGUUUAAAACUUAGAGUCAACAAGUAGAUAACUAUUUUAAAAUGUAUACAACUGAUUUUUACAUGGCGUAUUUCAAGGUUAUAGUUUUGUUUUAUAAGCAUAGCCUGCUUGUCCUUCAGGAUGCGUCAAAUUGAAUCCGGAAGCGGUGUCCUCGCUACCCCGUGCUGUGUGUGGUUUCCGUAGCAACGGGGUUGUUUACUAACCUGUGCACGGAGAGUUAGUUUGAUACAAACUGCGUCUCUCAUUAGAAUACCCUGUAAGUGGAAUAAACCAUUUCGGAAAUACAGAAGACUUUAAAAUGCCGACCUUGAAGGGGGUUUCAAAGCCCCCCAUCGGGGAGACCCUGAGGCGUUACAAUGUCCUGCCCCCGAUUUCAGGCCCCAGUGGCAGGGCUGAGCUGGAGAAGCUGACUGCAAGCGACAGGCCUGAGCGCAGCAAGCUACUGAAACAAAGAGAGAGCCUCCAGUAGAGACGCCUGCUCAAUCAGAUCGUCAUUCAAGGGGCUGUGCGUGCCUAUGAGCAAGAAAUGGAAGCAAAUAUAAAGAGAAUUCCCUCUCCUCCAGAACCCCAGUUACCCUCCACGGUAAGAACACAAGAUGGAGAUGGAGCCUCAGCCCUGCUAGCACACCAUUCACACUAUCCCAUGGAAUCUAAUGCCACAGUUCAUAUUCCUGGUGUGUUUCAGAAAACCCUUCAAUGGAUGUAUAACUUUGUGUAAAAACAUGCUAGCUACCUUCUGUUAUAAACUUCCUUUAGUUCAGCUUCCAUUGUAACUGUGCCCUCUCAUGGACUAAAAGCACUGUCUGCUCAGAAAGUGACAGACGUGCAUGCCACUGCCCCAAAUGAGUUGAUCGUGUGUGAUAUAUUCUCUGUAUAAUGAUAUAUUCUCUGUGUAAUGAUAUAUUCUCUGUGUAAUGAUAUAUUCUCUGUAUAAUGUUUAUAAUCAAGGGCUUUUUCACU